GUUAGAGUAGUUUAAUUAAAACAUUAUUUUGUGGAAAUAAGGAUAUAUAUUAUCUCUGACU
rnacentral:tRNA from 1 species